AGUAAGAGCGUAUGGGGGAUGCCUAGGCUCUCAGAGACGAAGAAGGACGUGAUAAGCUGCGAUAAGCUACGGGGAUUAGCACAUAUGAAUUGAUCCGUAGAUUUCCGAAUGGGGCAACCCGGCUGUUUGAAGAACAGUCAUCCCGAUUUAUUGGGAGGUGAACCCGGAGAACUGAAACAUCUAAGUACCCGGAGGAGAAGAAAACAAUAGUGAUUCCGUAAGUAGUGGCGAGCGAACGCGGAUUAGCCCAAACCGAUAUA
rnacentral:rRNA from 1 species